rnacentral:rRNA from 1 species
GAUGAACGCUGGCGGCGUGCCUAAUACAUGCAAGUCGAGCGAACAGACGAGGAGCUUGCUCCUCUGACGUUAGCGGCGGACGGGUGAGUAACACGUGGAUAACCUACCUAUAAGACUGGGAUAACUUCGGGAAACCGGAGCUAAUACCGGAUAAUAUAUUGAACCGCAUGGUUCAAUAGUGAAAGACGGUUUUGCUGUCACUUAUAGAUGGAUCCGCGCCUCAUUAGCUAGUUGGUAAGGUAACGGCUUACCAAGGCAACGAUGCGUAGCCGACCUGAGAGGGUCAUCCGACACACUGGAACUGAGACUCGGUCGCGACACCUACGGGGGGACGCAGCAGAGAAUCUUACGGGAUGCGCGAGUGCGUGACGGUGGAACGUCGCGUGAAUGCUGAAGGUGCUAGGCUCGUAGAGCGCUGUAAUUCGGGAAGAAGUAAUGUGUAAGCAACUAUGCACAUCUUGACGGUACCAACUGAGAAAGCCCCGGCUAACUACGUG